rnacentral:rRNA from 1 species
CAAUAGCGUAUAUUAAAGUUGUUGCAGUUAAAAAGCUCGGAGUUGGAUUUCUGGUUGAAGCGACCGGUCGGGCGUUGAUUCGUCUGCACUGGAGUCGGUUUUGGCCAUCCUCUAGGAAAGUGCGUCUGGUAUUAAGUUAUCGGGCGUAUGAUCCUGGUCUUUUACUGUGAAAAAAUUAGAGUGUUUAAAGCAGGCCUUCGCCUUGAAUACAUUAGCAUGGAAUAAUAAGAUAGGACUUUGGUCUAUUUUGUUGGUUUGCAGACCGAAGUAAUGAUUAAUAGGGAUAGUUGGGGGUAUUUAUAUUCCGAUGUCAGAGGUGAAAUUCUUAGAUUUUCGGAAGAUAAACUUAUGCGAAAGCAUUUACCAAGGAUGUUUNCAUUA